CACCCCAUCUCUAAUUCAUCAGACUCUGAUCCAUCCAGUCAUGAUAUCUAUUAGAUCCAGUAUAGUCUGUCCUUUCUUUAGUUUUUAGGAUCUAUCUUGUAGGCCUUGCAAUGAAAUGUUGACUGACUGACUCUUGGAUAGUUUCUAUCCAUGUCUUUUGUACUCUAAGUUGACACUUAUGUAUUGAAAUAUCUAUGUACUCAAUCACUUUUUGGAUAUAUAUAUAUGUACUUUGACUUUCAAUGAAUAUCUUUGAAUGUGAUCAAAUGGAGUUACUUUUAAAUCAUGAAAUACUUGCAUAGCAAUAUC
rnacentral:lncRNA from 1 species